rnacentral:rRNA from 1 species
UUGUAGGCUGAAACUCGCCUACAUGAAGCUGGAAUUGCUAGUAAUCACAGGUCAGCAUACUGUGGUGAAUACGUUCCCGGGCCUUGUACACACCGCCCGUCACACCAUGAGAGUUGAGAAUACCCGAAGUCCGUAGUCUAACCUAUAUGGAGGACGCGGCCGAAGGUGGGUUUGGUAAUUGGGGUGAAGUCGUAACAAGGUAAC